UAACUUUAUAACGUGCAUUGUGCCCCUGCGCCUGGGACCCGGGCAGGCUCAGGGAUAAGGGAAUUUCGGUGAGACUCCGGAGCUAUUCCGUAUCCGUGUGUGCAUGAGGCUGUUGUUCGCGGCGUGAGCCGGCCAUUGGGAGAAUCCUGAGAAGGUGGAGCAGCAGACGUGGGCCCCUGUGCCGGGGCCCGGAAGCAUAAGCCGGUAGACCUACAGUGUUCGAGACCGCGUC
rnacentral:ncRNA from 1 species